rnacentral:misc_RNA from 1 species
AUCGUCCCUGCCGGCUGGCUCCGUGCCCGCCCACCGAACGGCCGGCAGGCGACCCGCGUCGGUCGCGCGAGGUGGUUGUUACGUAUGGUUGCCCAGAGGCCGGUUCUUGUGUUGCCUACCCCCUCAGGGGAAGCGCGGUCCACUUGAUGUAAGCCUCCGUCCGGCGCCCCCAGCGGGCGCCGGAGGACAGCGGAGCACCCCCCGCGUUCCACCGAGCCCUCGCCGGUCGCGUGGCCCGCGGGGACGUGCGAUGCUCUCGGACCCAGCGCACGCCGUGGGCGGGGACUCGCUCCCCGGCCCCAAACA